GUGGGUGUAGCUUAGUGGAAGAGCACAUGCUUAGCAUGCAUGAGGUCUUGGGUUCAAUCCCUAACACCUCUA
rnacentral:tRNA from 1 species